UACGAAGGGUGCAAGCGUUACUCGGAAUUACUGGGCGUAAAGCGUGCGUAGGUGGUGAGUUAAGUCUGUCGUGAAAGCCCCGGACUCAACCUGGGAAUGGCGAUGGAUACUGGCUCGCUAGAGUGCGGUAGAGGAGAGUGGAAUUCCCGGUGUAGCAGUGAAAUGCGUAGAGAUCGGGAGGAACAUCAGUUGCGAAGGCGGCUCUCUGGACCAGCACUGACACUGAGGCACGAAAGCGUGGGGAGCCGAACAGG
rnacentral:rRNA from 1 species